ACCUCGGUGACGUAGUGGUAGCACGAGUCCCCGGUAUGGAUGAAACGCAGGUUCGAAUCCCGUCUGAGGUC